rnacentral:rRNA from 1 species
GACGAACGCUGGCGGCGUGCUUAACACAUGCAAGUCGAACGGAAAGGCCCCUUUGGGGGUACUCGAGUGGCGAACGGGUGAGUAACACGUGAGUAACCUGCCCUUGACUUCGGGAUAACUUCAGGAAACUGGGGCUAAUACCGGAUAGGAAUCCUUGCUGCAUGGUGGGGGUUGGAGAGCUUCGGCGGUUUUGGAUGGACUCGCGGCUUAUCAGCUUGUUGGUGGGGUAGUGGCUUACCAAGGCUUUGACGGGUAGCCGGCCUGAGAGGGCGACCGGCCACAUUGGGACUGAGAUACGGCCCAGACUCCUACGGGAGGCAGCAGUGGGGAAUAUUGCACAAUGGGCGGAAGCCUGAUGCAGCAACGCCGCGUGCGGGAUGACGGCCUUCGGGUUGUAAACCGCUUUCAGCAGGGGCGAAGCUUGUGGUGACGGUACCUGCAGAAGAAGCACCGGCUAACUACGUG